AAUGUUCGAGUUGUAUAGAAAAAGAAUAAUAAAUGAACUUACGCUUGAUAAUCGACUUCAGUAGUCCACAAGGCUAUUAUGAAUAAACAUGGCGACCGAGGUGUUUGAUUUUACGUAUGGCGCUGCGUGAAAUUCAAUUUACGAAACGCUGGUACGUUAUGCCGCUUUGAUUUUUUAUUGUUGUGAUAUAAUUAGGAAUAUUUUGUGAAAGAACAAACAAUUUAACUCUUAAUCUGUAAGAAAAUGGAGCUUACGGAUGAGAAUUUGGUAACAUUAAGCGAAUAUUUAAAACAUACAUUAAGUCCGGAUACAAAUGUCAGAAGACCGGCUGAAAAGUUUCUGGAAUCCAUAGAAGUAAAUCAGAAUUAUCCUUUACUACUUUUACAUUUGAUAGACAAAACCGAAGUAGAUAUAACUAUAAGAAUCGCUGGUGCAGUUGCAUUUAAAAAUUAUAUAAAACGUAAUUGGAAAGUUGAGGAAGAUGCUCAAGAUCGUAUACAUGCACAGGAUAGACAUGCGAUAAAGAAAUUAAUAGUUAAUUUAAUGUUGCAUUCUCCUCAUUCAAUACAAAAACAAUUAUCCGAUGCUGUAUCAAUCAUUGGUAAACAUGAUCUUUUGAAUAAAUGGCCAGAAUUGAUCGAUCAGAUGAUUGAAAAAUUCAAUACAGGAGAUUUUCAUGUAAUAAAUGGAGUCUUACAUACGGCACAUUCUUUAUUUAAAAGAUAUAGAUACGAAUUCAAAAGUGAAAUUUUAUGGACGGAGAUUAAAUUUGUAUUGGAUCAAUUUGCAAAGCCAUUAACAGAUUUAUUUUUAACAACCAUGAAUUUAGCACAGAUACAUGCUAAUAAUGUAGAUGCCUUAAAAGUGAUAUAUAAUUCUUUGGUUAUGCUCUCUAAAGUAUUUUAUUCUCUUAAUUUUCAAGAUUUACCAGAAUUUUUUGAAGAUAAUAUGGCAUCAUGGAUGAAAAAUUUUCUUGUUAUAUUAAAUACUGAUGUACCAUCACUGGGAACAACAGAUAAUGAAGAAGCAGGAGUGAUGGAACAAUUAAAAACACAAGUUUGUGAUAAUAUCUGCCUUUAUGCUCAAAAGUACGAUGAAGAAUUCCAACCAUUUUUACCGGAAUUUGUAACAAUUGUAUGGAACUUAUUAACAUCUACAGGUCAACAGACCAAAUAUGACGCAUUAGUAUCAAGUGCAUUACAAUUCUUGGCAAUAGUAGCGGAUCGUUCUCGUUAUAGAAAUUUGUUUGAGGAUUCAGGAACUUUGAGCAGUAUCUGUGAAAAAGUUAUUAUUCCUAAUAUGGAAUUUAGAGAUUCGGAUGCUGAAUUGUUCGAAGACAAUCCAGAAGAGUACAUACGCCGUGAUAUAGAAGGUAGUGAUGUAGAUACAAGAAGGCGAGCAGCUUGUGAUUUAGUAAAAGUUCUUUCAAAGUAUUUUGAAGUCAAAAUAAUGGAAAUUUUUGGAGCUUAUAUACAGGUAAUGUUACAAAACUAUGCAGAAAAGCCUACUGAAAAUUGGCGUAGUAAAGAUGCAGCUAUUUAUUUAAUUACAAGUAGUGCCACUAAAGGACAAACGCAAAGGCAUGGAGUAACUCAAAGUAGUCAACUUGUUCCAUUACCUCAGUUUACGGCACAACACAUUGAGCCUGAACUUUCUAAACCAAAUGUUAACGAAUGUCCGGUUCUUAAAGCAGACGCAAUUAAAUUUGUAAUGUCAUUUAGAUCAGUUUUACCACAGGAAUUAGUCGUAGGAAGUUUACCACAAUUAGUUAGACAUUUGAGUGCUACGAGUAUCGUUGUUCAUACAUAUGCUGCUUGUGCAGUCGAUAAAAUACUUGCUAUGAGAGGCACAGACAAUAAUUCCUUAGUGAAAGGAAAUGACUUAAUGCCAUUAGCACCGGAUCUGCUAAAGGGACUAUUCGCAUGUUUGUCUCUGACAGGGUCAGAAGAAAAUGAGUAUGUAAUGAAAGCUAUUAUGAGAAGCUUUGGUAUAUUACAGGAUAAUAUUGUACCAUUCUUAGCAGAUUUAUUACCAAAACUUACAGAGAAACUUACAAUGGUCGCUAAAAAUCCGACGCGUCCUAAUUUCAAUCAUUAUCUAUUUGAAACAUUAAGCUUAUCUAUCAAAAUCGUUUGUAAAACAAAUCCUCAGGCUGUUUUAUCAUUCGAACAAGUUUUGUUUCCAAUAUUUCAAGAAAUUCUACAGCAAGAUAUAUCAGAAUUUAUACCGUAUGUUUUUCAAAUCUUGGCUUUAUUUUUGGAACUUAGAACUACACAGGAAAUACCAGAUCCUUACAUGGCCUUAUUCCCGUGCUUAUUAGCACCAGUUUUAUUUGAACGUCAAGCUAAUAUUCAUCCACUUAAUAGAUUAUUACAAGCUUACGUUAGUCACGGUUCACAUUUAAUAAUAGCACAAGAUAAGACCAGCGGCUUAUUGGGCGUUUUUCAAAAAUUAAUAGCAUCUAAGAUUAACGAUCGUGAAGCUUUCUUCUUAUUGCAAUGUAUCAUCGAACAUUUUCCACCGAGUACAUUGGAACCAUUUAUGAAGCAAAUUUUUGUAUUGCUAUUCCAAAGGCUUUCUUCUUCUAAAACGACAAAAUUUGUACAGGGAUUGAUAAUAUUUUUUGCGUAUUAUAUUAUUAGAUAUAAUGCUACUAGUUUGGUUAAUAUUAUAGAUCAAAUACAACCACAAAUGUUUGGAAUGGUUGUUGAACGUAUAUUAUUAUCGGAUUUACAAAAGGUAUCAGGUGAUAUAGAAAAGAAAGUAACGGCUGUAGGAAUGUCGAAUUUAUUAAUAGAUUGUCCACCGAUGCUUGAAAGCCCAUAUAAUUCAUAUUAUCCGCGGCUUUUAGCUGCAUUGAUCGAAUUCUUCGAAUCGUCCCAAGAUGAAACUUUAUUACCCGAGGAUAGUAUAAUGCCUGAAUUUGAGGAUGCAAUGGAAUAUCAAGUUGGUUACAGUCAGCUUGUAUAUGCAAAAAUGCCAAAAAAAGAUCCAUUGCAAUCUAUUGGCGAUGUACGUUUACAUUUGGCACAAGGACUUGGGAGAUUAUCACCAGGACAAUUACCAGGACUCCUUGGACAAAUUCCAGAACCAAAUGCAAAUCAUUUAAGAAAUUAUCUUCAAACUGCUGGCAUUACGGUUGCAUAAUAUGAGCUGGAUAUCAGAAAUAGAUUGAAGAUACAUUUGAUAUCACGAAAGAUAACAAACAUCAAAUUGAAUAAAUUAGCAUAGAGAUCAGCAGAGCGCCAACUAUAUUCUCUUCAUCAUUCAGAGCAGGUAGAACAGAACCGGUAAGUCGAUAAUAUCCGGGGUUUGUGAAAAGCCUUCGCCUAUAUACCACCUUCGAAAGCACUGGGCCAGCGAGUUACAAGAUCUAUAGAACAAUAAAAAGAAUGUUUAGAUCGAAGAAAGAAUAAUAAUUUGAUUAGCACGGUGUUGGUAAUGUAAAUAAAAAAAAAAUAGAAAGAAAAUAAAUAAACAAUAAAGAAACAAGAAGAUAUGAAAGAAACGUCGAUCAUCAUAAUACCCUGGAAUAAAAGAUAAAAAAGGAAGGAGGCAGUAAAAAAAAAAAAAAAAAAAAAGAAAAAAAAGAAAAAAAAAAGAAAAAGAGAAAAAGAAAACAAAAGAAAGAAAAAUGAAAUUGCUCCCAUGAUUUAUGAAAAUAAAUAUUCCUUUGUAAAAGGUAUUGCAUUGUUUUCUCGUUCCCUUCUUUAUUAUUUUUCUUUUUUAUUUAUUUGUUUUCUAUUUUCUUUUUUUUUUUUUACUUUUCUUUUCCUUUAUCAAACGGAGAAUCAUAAUUUGGGAUCGUUUGGGAUUUGUAAAAGAUUCGCGGUUUUGAUGUCCCUCCCUCUCCCUCUCUAUCUCUCUCUCUCUCUCUCUAUAUAUAUAUAUAUAUAUAUAUAUAUAUAUAUAUAAUGUAAUAUAUAUAUAUAUCUGUUGAGAGAACAUGGCUACCGACGAAACCUCAAGUCAUGUACUGACGAAAGGAUUCUUCCUACAUCCUGUUAUACUCCUACAUAUAUACAUAGAUAUAUACGUAACGUUCUAUCGUAUUUUGUAACGGAGGAAUGCCAUAGGGAACGAAGAGGAAAAUCGUCGUACAUAUAUAUGUCCACGUUUCUAACGCUUGAUACCAUUCUGUAAUUUUAUUUCGGAUUAAGGAUUUUAUAUAGCAUUGAAAAACGAAGAAUGAAAUUAUAGAAGAGAUAUGUUUAUGUAUGUGC